GGUCAGCGCGCCCUCCCCUCCUGUCUACUCACUCCCGGGGCGUUUCUUUGCCGAUUUUUGAAUGUGAUUUUAAAGAGUGGAAGAGGAUGCUAUGCGUUUUUAUAAAAAAUGGUGCCUGACUCCUUGGCUGUGUCAGACUCUUUUGUGCCCCGCGGUCCUCUUUGAGCUCUGCGGGGCCGGGGCCUGAGGAGAGAGGGUCUGGGUGGUGCCAGAUGCCCUCCCCCACCACACCAGGCACCCACAGCCCGCCUGCCAGGCCUAGGCACCGGGGUGGGGGGUGGGGGCUCCCACUCCGCCGCUCUUACCCCAGGGGAGCAGAAGGGGUCUUCUGCCCACUGCCAGGGAAGUGGGAGGCAGUGCCUGCAGUUUGGUGCCUGGUGUCACAUUGGGGCUCACUGGGUACCGGUGCCCACCAGGGCCCGUGCUGAGGACACCCUGUGGGCAGACGAGCCGAGCCCCGCCCCCGCCGGCCCUCUGGGCCUCAGGCUUCUCUGGCUGUGGCCUCCACUCUGGUCUUGCCGUGCAGCCCCAGGGAUCUCCCUGCACCAGGCCUCAUGUACCCAGAGGUUCUGUUCAACUUUCUUCGCCCCACCUCCCUGCCCUACAGGCCCCCGUGAGUGAAGGUCACUGACACCCCCUCCAUGGGAGGCUCUGCGGGCAAGGACUGAGAGGGCCCCACGGAGUCUGGGAGAAAAUGGCCUUUGCGCUGGGCCUCCAGCUUUGGGCCGGAGGAGUCGGGGGACAUUUCCGAUGCCUGGAAGGGCCUGGCAGUCAGGAGUGGCUCAGGCUGGCACGAGCACCGUGGAAGGGGGGGAGGCUCAGCUCAAACAUCUUGAUGGAACUAUCUGGUCAGGGAGCCUGAGACCAGAGGGUCGGCCUUGGCCAAGCCUGGCCGCUGCCUCACCAUCCAAGACCAGGACCAGAACCCAGGCUAAAGGCGAGGGUAAGGACACCACAGCUCAGCCAAAUGAGGCCUGCGCCCUGGUUCCGGUGUGGGUGGAGGGGAUGGCCCUGAUUUCGAAACUCUCCUUCCUCUCCUGACACUGGCCGCAAAGUGCAGCCUCUGCAAAAGGGAUGCGCGCGGUGGGUGAAACAGCCACUCACGGUGAACAACUUUCCACCAGGUCUAGAGCUAGCCAGGCCUCCUCCCCUGCUCCCCAUACUCCCAUUCCCGACCCGGUGCCCUAGGGGGCCGCCCCCAGCCCCACCGCUCAACCCUCCUACCUCACACCACAUGGCAGGGUCCAGCCCGUGGUGUGCAUUUAAGGGCACCUCCCGCCUUGCCCGCACACGCAGGCAUGGUCGGCACNNNNNNNNNNNNNNNNNNNNNNNNNNNNNNNNNNNGGGCGAGCCUGCCAGGAAAACGCAGGUAACCCCGGAGCAGCAGGGCCCCGGGCUGCUGCGCACGCACGCGCACAAACCGCGCACGUCCUGGGAACUUCCGCACCGCCCCUCGCC
rnacentral:lncRNA from 1 species